GGGGCAGUAGCUCAGUGGUUAGAGCAGCGGACUCAUAAUCCGUUGGUCGAAGGUUCAAGUCCUUCUUGCCCCA
rnacentral:tRNA from 1 species